rnacentral:rRNA from 1 species
AUUGGAAGUAAAAGUCGUAACAAGGUUUCCGUAGGUGAACCUGCGGAAGGAUCAUUAUUGAAAUAAACCUGAUGGGUUGUUGCUGGUUCUCUAGGGAGCAUGUGCACACCUUGUCAUCUUUAUAUCUCCACCUGUGCACUUUUUGUAGACCUUUCAGGUCUAUGUUGCUUCAUUUACCCCAAUGUAUGUUAAUAGAAUGUUGUGCCUAUAUAAUAUAUACAACUUUCAGCAACGGAUCUCUUGGCUCUCGCAUCGAUGAAGAACGCAGCGAAAUGCGAUAAGUAAUGUGAAUUGCAGAAUUCAGUGAAUCAUCGAAUCUUUGAACGCACCUUGCGCUCCUUGGUAUUCCGAGGAGCAUGCCUGUUUGAGUGUCAUUAAUAUAUCAACCUUCUCUUUUUGAGUGGUUUGGAUGUGGGGGUUUGCUGGCCUCUUAAAAGGUCUUGGCUCUCCUGAAAUACAUUAGCAGAACAACCCUGUUCAUUGGUGUGAUAACUAUCUACGCUAUUGAAUGUGAAGGGCAGUUUGGCUUUCUAACAGUCCUUGGACAAGCUCAUCAUUAAUGUGACCUCAAAUCAGGUAGGACUACCCGCUGAACUUAAGCAUAUCAAUAAGCGGAGGAAAU